AGAAGGAACAAAAUCAAUUAAAUAUAGGUCACAAUCCCCAAUGGAAAAAACUAAAGCAGCAAAUUACUUCUCCUAUCAAUAGUAAUUUUUUCCGAGCAUCUGCGAGAUUAAAUCUGUGAAUUUUCGGCGUGACUAGUUUGAUUCUCAUUAUUGUACUUCUCUGCUUUGCUUUUUGCAUUUUUCCUUGUCUUCUUCUCGUUUUCCGAAUUUGGACUAGAUUAUUUGUGGUGAAGGCGAUCGCAGCUUUAUGCUUGAGCGAUAAUUGGAGUAUGAAUCGAAGCCGAAAAAGCGGCAACUCAUGGCCGCUGAAACUCUCUUUAGGCUUAGAAAGAGGCUUUUGCCAAAUGGGCCUAUCGUUUUUCCCAAAGCCCCUUUUGUUCCAUCACACCUUAAAAUGGAUAGAAUUCCUCAUCCCUAAGUUUCGAUUUUCCACAGCCUUUUGCUUCGAUUGCGACGUUUUGCGAUUCUUUCCGGCUAGGAAUGGCAUACGCACUCCACAUUUUUGUUUGGUAGCUGCAACUGAUUUGAUUGUAGGAUAAUUGUGUGAAGUUGAAAAAUUGUGCAUUUUACAUUUCCAUUAACUGAUUGUUUGAUACUUCUAUUGUCUUUCAUUUUGAAUAAUGAGUCAGUAGUGUUAUUAUUAGCCAAAAUUAAGCUGUUCAUUUAAUUUUCUUUACAUAUAAUAAACUGCUUAUCUGUUGCUGUUUGUAAGUGAUUUUUGUGAGCUUCACUUGAUUUUUAUGUAGACGAAUGAUUACGGUUUACUGUUCCAACAUGACUUAAUAAUUGACGAACAUGUAUUGCUUCGGAUAAGGAUAAUGUAUGUAUCAUCUAAAGAUGAACCAAUCCACUGCAUUCCACAAAUAGGAAUUGUAAACAUCCCCACAAAGUUGGAUCAAUGAUUAUGCCAUUUUGGUCAAACUAAAACUGCUUUGGUGUUAUCCUUCUUUUCUAGGACAAUGAGUGAUUAGAUUGAGAUAUUUUUGUCAUGACCACUCAUUGUUGCUUUCAGGGCGUGCUUGACAUUAGCUGAAUCUGCAUUUUGAGUGGAAGUUGUGAACGGAACUGUUGAGACACUGGAUUCACAAAAAUCGACUGAUGGACUUGGAGUUUCACGUCCUCUGUGUAAGAUAUCGACUUCGGGGAUUAUUGAAACUGGGCAGGUUCUGGAUGUAGCCUGGUUUUUGAGAUAGUACAUGAUCAGCUCUUCAUCAGUGGGGUGAAAUCUGAAACCUGGAGGAAGAUCAGUGCUAGAAAUGCUAUGAGGAGAAGGAGAAGGAGAGGGAGAAGUGUUUGAAAUGUUUGCAAGGCAAUAGCUCCUCUAUUUAUAUCUCAACAUUUUUGUCAUCUUGUGAGUUUUACUUUAUGAAGCUAUUGACAUUUUUGCGAUGAGGACAAAAUGCUCCAUUCAUCAAUUGUGAUGAGCCAAAGUUGUAGCAUAAAACACGAGACAAAAUCAACAGGAAGUACACACAGUCUAUCCCAGAACCAAUAAAAGAUAAGUAGUGCAUUUUAAAUUGACCAUGCGGUGUGAAAAUAGAAAUUCACACCUUUUUAAGAAUGUUUUGAAGAUGGAUGCCCAACCAAGAGAGGAAGCAUGCUACUGGAUCCUUGGGCAAACAUAGAAAUAUGUUUUAUCGAUCAUAACAUUAAUACUAUAAGCAACUCUCUGUUGCUUUCUUGCUUAAAAUAUAUCGAUUUCUCGCAUAAAUAUAUCUAUCAUCAUCGAUUCCCUGAUUCA